rnacentral:rRNA from 1 species
AUUGAACGCUGGCGGCAGGCCUAACACAUGCAAGUCGAACGGUAACAGGGAUCAGCUUGCUGAUUCGCUGACGAGUGGCGGACGGGUGAGUAAUGUCUGGGAAACUGCCUGAUGGAGGGGGAUAACUACUGGAAACGGUAGCUAAUACCGCAUAACGUCGCAAGACCAAAGAGGGGGACCUUCGGGCCUCUUGCCGUCGGAUGUGCCCAGAUGGGAUUAGCUAGUAGGUGGGGUAACGGCUCACCUAGGCGACGAUCCCUAGCUGGUCUGAGAGGAUGACCAGCCACACUGGAACUGAGACACGGUCCAGACUCCUACGGGAGGCAGCAGUGGGGAAUAUUGCACAAUGGGCGCAAGCCUGAUGCAGCCAUGCCGCGUGUAUGAAGAAGGCCUUCGGGUUGUAAAGUACUUUCAGCGGGGAGGAAGGGAGUAAAGUUAAUACCUUUGCUCAUUGACGUUACCCGCAGAAGAAGCACCGGCUAACUCCGUG